CAUCAACUUGAUCCGCUUGUUUGGUAGCGACUCUUCGUGUGUCAAACUAUAUUCAUUUAUCAGGGAAAAAACAAAAACUGUCUUCGUACACAAAGACAUUACUUUUUCAUCAAGGCAGUGGGGGAAAAAUUGACAGAAACAAGGUAUUGCCCCUAUAACUUUGUUUUUGGGCAAUAAAAAACCCCUAAAACUGAAUCAUUCCUAUGAUAAAAUCUCCUACAAAUUGUUCAUUCAUUGGCGCAAUCGAUAUGCAAGUCAUCCUGGGGAAUUUGUUUUGACUA